rnacentral:rRNA from 1 species
AUUGAACGCUGGCGGCAGGCCUAACACAUGCAAGUCGAGCGGAUGAGUGGAGCUUGCUCCAUGAUUCAGCGGCGGACGGGUGAGUAAUGCCUAGGAAUCUGCCUAGUAGUGGGGGACAACGUUUCGAAAGGAACGCUAAUACCGCAUACGUCCUACGGGAGAAAGCAGGGGACCUUCGGGCCUUGCGCUAUCAGAUGAGCCUAGGUCGGAUUAGCUAGUUGGUGAGGUAAAGGCUCACCAAGGCGACGAUCCGUAACUGGUCUGAGAGGAUGAUCAGCCACACUGGAACUGAGACACGGUCCAGACUCCUACGGGAGGCAGCAGUGGGGAAUAUUGGACAAUGGGCGAAAGCCUGAUCCAGCCAUGCCGCGUGUGUGAAGAAGGUCUUCGGAUUGUAAAGCACUUUAAGUUGGGAGGAAGGGCAGUAAGUUAAUACCUUGCUGUUUUGACGUUACCGACAGAAUAAGCACCGGCUAACUUCGUGCCAGCAGCCGCAGUAAAAC